rnacentral:rRNA from 1 species
AUUGAACGCUAGCGGGAUGCUUUACACAUGCAAGUCGAACGGCAGCGCGAGGUAAGCUUGCUUACCUUGGCGGCGAGUGGCGAACGGGUGAGUAAUGUAUCGGAACGUGCCCAGUAGCGGGGGAUAACCACUCGAAAGAGUGGCUAAUACCGCAUACGCCCUACGGGGGAAAGGGGGGAUCCUUCGGGACCUCUCACUAUUGGAGCGGCCGAUAUCGGAUUAGCUAGUUGGUGGGGUAAAGCCUACCAAGGCGUCGAUCCGUAGCUGGUUUGAGAGGACGACCAGCCACACUGGGACUGAGACACGGCCCAGACUCCUACGGGUGGCAG